UAUCAAACAGUUAGUCGUUCCUCGUAGACGUAUAGUGAGUCCUCUGCAAUCUCCACUGCAAGCAUCAAAACACUGAAAACAGAAAAUACCAAAACACCAUGAAGUUGACAUAUUGCAUUUUAGUUUGUGCUUUUUUGAAGUUGGCAAUGUGCUUGCAGAGACCAGCCAACCAAGUGGAUGAAGACAGUUUCUUUGAUGUUCAAAGAG